AGGGUUCGAUUCUGGCUCAGGAUGAACGCUGGCGGCGUGCUUAACACAUGCAAGUCGAACGGGAUCGGCUGGAGCUUGCUCCGGCCGUGAGAGUGGCGAACGGGUGAGUAAUGCGUGACCGACCUGCCCCAUACACCGGAAUAGCUCCUGGAAACGGGUGGUAAUGCCGGAUGCUCCAGUUGGAUGCAUGUCCUUCUGGGAAAGAUUCAUCGGUAUGGGAUGGGGUCGCGUCCUAUCAGGUAGUCGGCGGGGUAACGGCCCACCGAGCCUACGACGGGUAGCCGGCCUGAGAGGGCGACCGGCCACAUUGGGACUGAGAUACGGCCCAGACUCCUACGGGAGGCAGCAGUGGGGAAUAUUGGGCAAUGGGCGCAAGCCUGACCCAGCAACGCCGCGUGAAGGAAGAAGGCUUUCGGGUUGUAAACUUCUUUUGUCAGGGACGAGUAGAAGACGGUACCUGACGAAUAAGCCACGGCUAACUACGUGCCAGCAGCCGCGGUAAUACGUAGGUGGCAAGCGUUGUCCGGAAUUAUUGGGCGUAAAGAGCAUGUAGGCGGCCUAUUAAGUCGGGCGUGAAAAUGCGGGGCUCAACCCCGUAUGGCGCCCGAUACUGGUGGGCUUGAGUGCAGGAGAGGAAAGGGGAAUUCCCAGUGUAGCGGUGAAAUGCGUAGAUAUUGGGAGGAACACCAGUGGCGAAGGCGCCUUUCUGGACUGUGUCUGACGCUGAGAUGCGAAAGCCAGGGGAGCGAACGGGAUUAGAUACCCCGGUAGUCCUGGCCGUAAACGAUGGGUACUAGGUGUAGGAGGUAUCGACCCCUUCUGUGCCGGAGUUAACGCAAUAAGUACCCCGCCUGGGGAGUACGGCCGCAAGGUUGAAACUCAAAGGAAUUGACGGGGGCCC
rnacentral:rRNA from 1 species